UAUGUUCUGGAAAUCUGAUGGUUCUAGGAUACUCUCAGAGGUGGGAGCUCCCUGGUGAUUCAGCUCUUGGUUGUCUGGGAGUCAUUCAAGGUAAAAAUGGAGAUAAGUCUUUAUGAAGAUUUUUCCAACAAUUCUCCAGCCACACUGCUGAAGAUUAUCCAGCAACUUCUUGGCAUACAGUACCAACACACCUCCGCUUCUACCAGGUGUUGGCCCCCAAAAUACUUCCUAAUAAAUCUCCUGCAUGAAAUCGCCAUCUCAAAGUGUGCUUUCUGGGGAAUGCAGUGUUUGGUAAACAGUAACUCAUGGCUAAAUACAGCAAUAUGCUCUGGAGUUCACCUGGAUACUUCUCUAGACAAAAGGCAGGUCCAGUUAUGGAUAAACAUCACUAGACAUCAAGAAAAGCUCAACAUCAAGAAAAGCCAUUUCACCUAUGUAACCAACUAACCUAGAUGACCAAGCCUAGUUAUAGAGUUUUCAUUCGAAAUCACUUUGUGCUUGAUAGACACUGAAUUGAAGCAAACACAGCAAGUGGGUCUCACAGCCAAUCCCUCAAAGACAGUAUCAAAAGCAGCAACUCCUUAAAACACUAGAAACUGAACUUUACAAUCCAUCAGCAGACUAAAGACGGGGAAGACCACACAAAGAUUAUUCACCUUAAUCAAAAACAUGGGACCAGCUCAGUAGCUCAUCAUCACAGAAAAUAGAUGAAUGAAAACAAAAUGGCUGCUCUAGACACAAGGCAAUUUCUGAAAAUAGGGAUGGUGACACUGGAGAAAAAACUGAAGACUCUUGGAGAAAAAAUAACUUCAUCACAAUAAAAUAGUAGGUGAUGGAAUGCACA